GGAUGUGAGGGCGAUCUGGCGGCGACAUCUGUCACCCCACUGAUCGCCAGAGUUGAUUUGGCUGAUCUGGCUGGCUAGGCGGGUGUCCCCUUCCUCCCUCACCACUCCAUGUGUGUUCCUCCCUAAGCUGGAGGGAUGCAUAUGGAGGAUGGCCUGCCCAGAAUAGAGACCUACCGCUCUCUUCCAUUGAGGGUAUAUGAGUAACUGCGCUCCCCUGCUAGAACCUCCAAAAAGCUCUCAAGUUAACAGCAACAAAAAUGUAGGGAGUCUUUUAUUCUUGCCAACCACUGCUGCUUGAAGCUUGAUUGUUUUG
ensembl:misc_RNA 7SK 7SK RNA